GAAGCUCCGACAUUAAGCUUAUUCUACCAACUACAUCCGUCGACUCUUGUGUAACUACAAAGCCUGUAAAUUCGUAGCUCCUCUUUGUUUAUGCAUGCUCGUCUCCUGCCAGUUCAUUGCAGAAAGACGACGCUACUUCAUUCAUUCCUUGAUGAGUGCUUUUACUCAAUUGAUUUUCCUGUCGAUAUUGCAGGUCUGCUCGAAUGGAACAGAUGAUAGCCUUCCGCGUUUUUAGACCAAACGCCGCUGUGGGUAGUGGUCAAUCGAGACAUUAGUAUUGUUCGUUCGAGCUGAUAGAGUAUGCACACCAACUGUUCGACAAAUUGCUAGAGCAGAG
rnacentral:lncRNA from 1 species